rnacentral:snRNA from 1 species
GUGCUUGCUUCAGCAGCACAUACUCUAAAAUUGUAUUAAUACGUAGAAGAUUAGCAUGGCCCCUGUGAGAAGAUGGCAUGUAAAUUUGUGAGACAUGCCAUACUAUC